UGGCAGCAGCCGCGGUAAUACGGAGGGGGUUAGCGUUGUUCGGAAUUACUGGGCGUAAAGCGCGCGUAGGCGGGCUGUUAAGUCGGGGGUGAAAUCCCGGGGCUCAACCCCGGAACUGCCUCCGAUACUGGCAGCCUAGAGAUCGAGAGAGGCGAGUGGAAUUGCGAGUGUAGAGGUGAAAUUCGUAGAUAUUGGGAAGAACACCAGUGGCGAAGGCGGCUCACUGGCUCGAUACUGACGCUGAGGUGCGAAAGUGUGAGGAGCAAACAGGAUUAGAUA
rnacentral:rRNA from 1 species